CCGCGUGAGUGAAGAAGGGUUUCGGCUCGUAAACUCUGUUGUUAAAGAAGAACAUAUCUGAGAGUAACUGUUCGGUAUUGACGGUAUUUAACCAGAAAGCCACGGCUAACUACGUGCCAGCAGCCGCGGUAUACGUAGGUGGCAGCGUUGUCCGGAUUUAUUGGGCGUAAGCGAGCGCAGGCGGUUUUUUAAGUCUGAUGUGAAAGCCUUCGGCUCAACCGAAGAAGUGCAUCGGAAACUGGGAAACUUGAGUGCAGAAGAGGACAGUGGAACUCCAUGUGUAGCGGUGAAAUGCGUAGAUAUAUGGAAGAACACCAGUGGCGAAGGCGGCUGUCUGGUCUGUAACUGACGCUGAGGCUCGAAAGUAUGGGUAGCAAACAGGAUUAGAUACCCUGGUAGUCCAUACCGUAAACGAUGAAUGCUAAGUGUUGGAGGGUUUCCGCCCUUCAGUGCUGCAGCUAACGCAUUAAGCAUUCCGCCUGGGGAGUACGGCCGCAAGGCUGAAACUCAAAGGAAUUGACGGGGGCCCGCACAAGCGGUGGAGCAUGUGGUUUAAUUCGAAGCUACGCGAAGAACCUUACCAGGUCUUGACAUACUAUGCAAAUCUAAGAGAUUAGACGUUCCCUUCGGGGACAUGGAUACAGGUGGUGCAUGGUUGUCGUCAGCUCGUGUCGUGAGAWGUUGGGUUAAGUCCCGCAACGAGCGCAACCCUUAUUAUCAGUUGCCAGCAUUAAGUUGGGCACUCUGGUGAGACUGCCGGUGACAAACCGGAGGAAGGUGGGGAUGACGUCAAAUCAUCAUGCCCCUUAUGACCUGGGCUACACACGUGCUACAAUGGAUGGUACAACGAGUUGCGAACUCGCGAGAGUAAGCUAAUCUCUUAAAGCCAUUCUCAGUUCGGAUUGUAGGCUGCAACUCGCCUACAUGAAGUCGGAAUCGCUAGUAAUCGCGGAUCAGCAUGCCGCGGUGAAUACGUUCCCGGGCCUUGUACACACCGCCCGUCACACCAUGAGAGU
rnacentral:rRNA from 1 species